UAGUUCAAUUUCACAACUUUAUUUUCAGUGAUUUCUUACUUCUUGUAUAAAAUCCUGUGUGCAUCAAUUUCCCUCCCUUCAAACAAGUUCUUCACUAGAAACCCUUCUCUCUUUUUCUCUUUUGCUCUCAAAAAAUCUCAAGCACAAGUUUUAGCACAAAGGGAAGUAUCAAUGGCCAGUUGGGUUGCAGUGCUAAGUGUUGUUUGGGUGAGCAUAGUAAUUGCAUGGGCAUGGAGGGUGCUCAAUUGGGUGUGGUUGAGGCCAAAGAAACUAGAAAGAAGCUUGAGGGAGCAAGGCCUUACGGGCAAUUCCUACAAGCUUUUGUUUGGAGACACCAAGGAGAGCUCAAUGAUGCUGGACCAAGCACAAUCCAAACCCAUCAAACUCUCCACCUCCCAUGAUAUAGCGCCACGUGUCAUGCCAUUUGUCCAUCAAACUGUGAACACUUAUGGUAAGAAUUCUUUUGUUUGGAUGGGUCCCAUACCAAAGGUGAACAUCAUGAACCCUGAAGAUUUGAAAGAAAUCUUCAACAAAGAUCAUCAGCAAACCCUAUGAUCGAUUUGGUAGCACAAGGCCUGUCAGCCUUUGAAGAUGGAAAAUGGGCUAAACACAGAAAGAUUAUCCAUCCAGCAUUCCAUUUAGAGAAGCUAAAGGGUAUGUUACCAACAUUUUACCAAAGUUGUAGCGAGAUGAUUAACGAGUGGGAGAGGUUGGUGUCCAAAGAAGGUUCAUGUGAGUUGGAUGUGUGGCCUUGUCUUCAAACUUUGUCCGCCGAUGUGAUUUCUCGGGCUGCAUUUGGAAGUAGCUAUCAAGAGGGAAGGAAAAUAUUUCAGCUACUGCGAGAGCAAGAAAAAAUUUACACAACAGCCAUCCAAAGUGUUUACAUUCCAGGUUCAAGGUUUCUACCAACCAAGCAGAACAAGAGGAUGAAGAAAAUAUAUGAAGAAAUAAGUGUGUUGCUCAAGGGCAUUAUAAAUAAAAGAGAAGAGGCAAUGAAGUUGGGUGAAGCCAGUAAACAUGACUUAUUAGGUUUACUUAUGGAGUCCAACUUGAAGGAAAUUCGAGAACAUGGGAACGACAGAAACACUGGAAUGAGUCUUGAAGAUGUAAUUGAGGAGUGUAAGCUGUUUUACUUGGCUGGCCAAGAGACCACUUCUGUGGUGCUUGUUUGGGCAAUGGUUUUGCUAAGUCGAAACCAGAAUUGGCAAGCUCGUGCAAGAGAAGAGGUCUUGCAACUCUUUCAAAGCAACCCACCAACCUAUGAUACCCUAAGCCACCUAAAAGUUGUGACAAUGGUUUUACUUGAAGUUCUUCGAUUAUACCCAGCAGCAGUUGAGCUUCUCCGAACCAGUCGCAAGAAAACACAGCUUGGAAAGUUCUCAUUGCCGGCCGGAGUCGAUGUCUCCAUACACAUAAUGCUUGCUCACCAUGACAAAGAAUGGUGGGGUGAGGAUGCCGAUGAGUUCAAGCCUGAGAGAUUUUCAUCAGGAGUUGCAAAGGCUACAAAGAACCAAUUUGCAUACUUCCCUUUUGGAGCAGGUCCACGGAUUUGCAUUGGACAAAACUUCGCUAUGCUGGAAGCAAAAUUGGCCUUGUCAUUGAUUUUGCAACACUUCACCUUUGAGCUUUCUCCAUCCUAUGCUCAUGCUCCUUUGGCAUUAAUAACCCUUCAACCUCAAUAUGGUGCUCAUAUAAUUUUAAGUAAACGUUGAUUAGUUCUGAAUGGUAUGUAUUAAGGACAUCACAUGGCUUAGCUUGCCAUAUUAACCAUGUAUAUUUUAUAAUAAUUCUCGUGACUUGUCUAAAAUAUAUCUGCAUUUCUGUCUUAAAAAAUCACAGGUGAUGCGUCAGCGUCUUUAAUUUCAUGCUCACAGACAGCUGAGUGUCAACGUCUUUAAUUUCAUGCUCAUAGACAGCUGAUUGUCAACAACAUAAUCUUCCACGUGCACUUGUCCCAUGCAAGCGGGGAGCAUUUGCUCCCACCACCUUUAAAGGAUGACACUUAUCCCAUGGUUAACCUUAAUUAACUUUUAUGUGAGAAUUAU